UCUCCGUAGGUGAACCUGUGGAGGGAUCAUUACUGAGUGAGGGUCUCCGGGCCCGACCUCCAACCCUUUUGUGAACCACCUCGUUGCUUCGGGGGCGACCCGGCCUUCGGGCGUCGGGGCCCCCGGUGGACCACCCAACCCUGCAUCGUUGCGUCUGAGUCGAAAUAUAAAUCAAUCAAAACUUUCAACAACGGAUCUCUUGGUUCUGGCAUCGAUGAAGAACGCAGC
rnacentral:misc_RNA from 1 species